rnacentral:misc_RNA from 1 species
AAGUCGUAACAAGGUUUCCGUAGGUGAACCUGCGGAAGGAUCAUUAACACGUAUCCACGUAUCAACCAACCGCGAACUCGUUUUCAAGUCUCCCUUUGGGGCACAUGAAUUGGUAACUGACACAGGGUAGUGAGUGGGGCUUUCGGGCCAGCUCUGUGACAGCCACUGAGGUGAUGAAUAAUCACUUCGACAAUUGGAGUGUUCUGGAGGCAAACCUUUCUGUUACCUUCAUCUCCAUUCAUGAUCGAGGUAAUGGAUAAAAUAUUCACUUAUUUCACCCCCUUUUUGCUAGUUGACUUUAUUAUGUUGUGAUCAGUAAGAUUAAUUUCUUAAUUGUCGCACACGUUUAAUUACUUAAACGAUAGAACAACUCUUAGCAAUGGAUAUCUUGGUUCUC